UUUCAUCAGCUCUCCAACGCACCAGUCUAUGACAUUCUUCGAGUUGUAGAAUCUGCAAUGAGCUGAAUUCAUCUCCUUCUGCUAUUUCCCACUCUUCAUUUGCUUCUUCUUCUUCUGUCUCAUUGCUUUUGAAGGUACAUGUGCGCAUCUUGAGCACUUCCAGAUUCGGUAUUGCACAUAGAGCCGUCGUUGCUGCCGGAGUUAUUACACAAAACACCAGACUUAAUUCUCUAAGACUAGAUGGAAAUUUGAGUGCGUGCAGAUAUUGCCAGUACAUUAAACUCCAGCUUAAUGUUUGGAGUUUGUGAAGAUGACUCAGAUCAACUACUUCACAUGAGCCUUUAACCACAUAACCGAUUCCCAAGCUUUUUAUAUUUGGAAUGCUUUCCAAGAAACCCCUUCUAAUCACUGACGGAGUUAGUUUCACAUUCCGUAUAGUCUGCAGCUUCUUCAGAACAAUUUUUUUCAUGUAAUCAUCUUCUAUCCUGAGAUAUAUACCCAACAUGAUGAGAUGUCUUAACUCAGACAUCUCCCACAACUCAGCUGGACAACAGCCAUAGUGUAGGUUAGCAAUCAAGGUUUGCAAAUCACACAAUCUUGAUAUUCCACUUCUUGGCAAUGACUUNGUACCCUAAUACCCGAUUCGGAUAUUCGGGUGCCCUAAAGUAACCGGAAAAAUGUCAAGUCAUCACAAGUCAAACUAAGAAUGCAGGAAAAAUACCGUAUGCAAGUACCAAAAUUAAAAAAUAUGGAUUAGCAGGCUAUUUUUGAACGUAAUGUGAUUUACAAAUUUGGUGAUAGUUUGGUAUUGCGAAGCAUAAAACUAUAAGAAACUAUUUUACUAUUUUACCCUAUAUUUUAUAGCUCAUAAAUUAAAUUUAGGGUUAUAAAAUAUAGGAUAAAUAGUAAAUAUUUAAUUAUUAUUAUUAUUAUUUUAAAAAGAGGGUUACAAGGAGUAAAAUAUGGGCUAUCAAUAGAAUGACCCCCAACAUUAUAUAUUUAUGUUCAAGAAGUAAUAUCAUGCAUGCCAACUUCAUCCAACUAAAAGUACUAGAACUAGAAAUGUUUAAAGAUCAUAAUUCAUUCGAAACUCCAAAUUAAUUAAAUUUGACCAAAUAUAUAUCAACGAAACUAUAAUAUCAUAUUAAAAAAAAAAUCCAAUUAAAGGUUCAAGUCUCAUUAAAAGUACCAACAUGGCAAAAAACCCGUAAGAAAAACAAAGCAAAUUGUGAAGCAAUGGUAGACAAGACAAGAGAGGAGAAAUCAAAUGAGUUUCAAAUAUGGCCACUUUGAGUCGUCUUCAUCUUCCUUUCAUUUCUCUUCCUCUUUCUGUGCUCUCUAGAUAUGCGACAUAAGAAAUUCUUGAGUGUAAUGAAACCCAACAACAUGAUUAGAGUGAAAAUAAGACUGACCUAUUAUGAGAUGAUACGAAGUUGGAGUUGGUAGUUUUCGUAUUCAGAUUGCUGCUCCUCCUUAAUCUUUUUCGCUGAGGCCACUACAGAAUCGUUGCAAAAUACCAUUUCGAUUAAUUGGAGGGUUGGGAUUUCUCCAAUGCCGGCGGGGAUUUCCUCUAGCUUCCUACAAUCUCGUAUAAUGAGAUGGCGGAGUCUAGGGAAGUUGGUUUCAUCAGCUCUCCAAUGCACCAGUUUUGAAAAAGAGAGUUGUAGAAACUGCAAUGAGCUGAAUUCAUCUCCUUCUGCUAUUUCCCACUCUUCAUUUGCUUCUUCUUCUUCUGUCUCAUUGCUUUUGAAGGUACAUAACUCUAUCUUGAGCACUUCCAGAUUCGGUAGUGCACACAGAGCCGUCGUCGCUGCCGGAGUUAUUACACAACACUCCACGAAUAAUUUUCUAAGAGUAGAUGGAAAUUUGACUGCAUGCAGAUAUUGAUGCCAUGAACCCC
rnacentral:lncRNA from 1 species